rnacentral:rRNA from 1 species
UACGUAGGGUGCGAGCGUUUGUCCGGAAUUACUGGGCGUAAAGAGCUCGUAGGUGGUUUGUCGCGUUGUUCGUGAAAACUCACAGCUUAACUGUGGGCGUGCGGGCGAUACGGGCAGACUGGAGUACUGCAGGGGAGACUGGAAUUCCUGGUGUAGCGGUGAAAUGCGCAGAUAUCAGGAGGAACACCGGUGGCGAAGGCGGGUCUCUGGGCCGAUACUGACGCUGAGGAGCGAAAGCGUGGGGGAGCGAACAGG